rnacentral:rRNA from 1 species
UAUGAUCCUAUGCUGCCGAGAAAAGCCUCUAGUGAGUGUUGUGGCGGCCCGUACCCUAAACCGACUCAGGUGGUCAGGUAGAGAAUACCAAGGCGAUCGGGUGAACUGUGGUUAAGGAACUCGGCAAAUUGCCCCCGUAACUUCGGGAGAAGGGGGACCUCUGCUGGUGAUGGGCUUUACGUUCUGAGCUGGUGGGGGUCGCAGUGGCCAGGGGGAAGCGACUGUUUACUAAAAACACAGGUCCGUGCGAAGUCGUAAGACGAUGUAUACGGACUGACGCCUGCCCGGUGCCGGAACGUUAAGGGGACCGCUUAGCCAGCUUCGGUUGGCGAAGGUGAGAACUUAAGCGCCGGUAAACGGCGGUGGUAACUAUAACCAUCCUAAGGUAGCGAAAUUCCUUGUCGGGUAAGUUCCGACCUGCACGAAUGGCGUAACGACUUCCCCGCUGUCUCAACCACAGACCCGGCGAAAUUGCACUACGAGUAAAGAUGCUCGUUUCGCGCAGCAGGACGGAAAGACCCCGGGACCUUCACUACAGCUUGACAUUGGCGUUUGGAACGUCUUGUGUAGGAUAGGUGGGAGACUGGGAAGCUGUCACGCUAGUGAUGGUGGAGUCAUUGGUGAAAUACCACUCUGGUCGUUUUGAACGUCUAACUCUGGUCCGUGAUCCGGAUCGGGGACAGCGUCUGGUGGGUAGUUUAACUGGGGCGGUUGCCUCCUAAAGAGUAACGGAGGCGCCCAAAGGUUCCCUCAGCCUGGUUGGCAAUCAGGUGUUGAGUGUAAGUGCACAAGGGAGCUUGACUGUGAGACUGACAGGUCGAGCAGGAGCGAAAGCUGGGACUAGUGAUCCGGCAUCGGCGUGUGGAAGCGGUGUCGCUCAACGGCUAAAAGGUACCCCGGGGAUAACAGGCUGAUCUUCCCCAAGAGUCCAUAUCGACGGGAUGGUUUGGCACCUCGAUGUCGGCUCGUCGCAUCCUGGGGCUGGAGUAGGUCCCAAGGGUUGGGCUGUUCGCCCAUUAAAGCGGUACGCGAGCUGGGUUUAGAACGUCGCGAGACAGUUCGGUCCCUAUCCGCUGCGCGCGCAGGAGACUUGAAGGGGGCUGUCCCUAGUACGAGAGGACCGGGACGGACGAACCUCUGGUGUGCCAGUUGUACCGCCAGGUGCACGGCUGGUUGGCUACGUUCGGAAGGGAUAACCGCUGAAAGCAUCUAAGCGGGAAGCUCGCCUUGAGAUGAGGUCUCCCACCCCGUGAGGGGGUAAGGCUCCCGGUAGAUCACCGGGUUGAUAGGCCGGAGGUGGAAGCACGGUAACGUGUGGAGCUGACCGGUACUAAUAGGCCGAGGACUUGACC